rnacentral:rRNA from 1 species
UACGUAGGGCGCGAGCGUUGUCCGGAAUUAUUGGGCGUAAAGAGCUCGUAGGCGGCCUGUUGCGUCCGCUGUGAAAGCCCGGGGCUUAACCCCGGGUCUGCAGUGGAUACGGGCAGGCUAGAGGUAGGUAGGGGAGAAUGGAAUUCCCGGUGUAGCGGUGAAAUGCGCAGAUAUCGGGAGGAACACCGGUGGCGAAGGCGGUUCUCUGGGCCUUACCUGACGCUGAGGAGCGAAAGCGUGGGGAGCGAACAGG